rnacentral:rRNA from 1 species
UGCAGUCGAGCGGAAGGCCCUUCGGGGUACUCGAGCGGCGAACGGGUGAGUCACACAUCGUGAGCAACCUGCCCUAGGCUUUGGGAUAACCCUCGGAAACGGGGGCUAAUACCGAAUAUGACCUCGCAUCGCAUGGUGUGUGGUGGAAAGUUUUUCGGCCUGGGAUGGGCUCGCGGCCUAUCAGCUUGUUGGUGGGGUGAUGGCCUACCAAGGCGACGACGGGUAGCCGGCCUGAGAGGGCGACCGGCCACACUGGGACUGAGACACGGCCCAGACUCCUACGGGAGGCAGCAGUGGGGAAUAUUGCACAAUGGGCGGAAGCCUGAUGCAGCGACGCCGCGUGAGGGAUGACGGCCUUCGGGUUGUAAACCUCUUUCAGCAGGGACGAAGCGUAAGUGACGGUACCUGCAGAAGAAGCGCCGGCCAACUACGUGCCAGCAGCCGCGGUAAGACGUAGGGCGCGAGCGUUGUCCGGAUUUAUUGGGCGUAAAGAGCUCGUAGGCGGCUUGUCGCGUCGACCGUGAAAACCUGGGGCUCAACCCCAGGCCUGCGGUCGAUACGGGCAGGCUAGAGUUCGGUAGGGGAGACUGGAAUUCCUGGUGUAGCGGUGAAAUGCGCAGAUAUCAUGGAGGAACACCGGUGGCGAAGGCGGGUCUCUGGGCCGAUACUGACGCUGAGGAGCGAAAGCGUGGGGAGCGAACAGGAUUAGAUACCCUGCUAGUCCACGCUGUAAACGUUGGGCGCUAGGUGUGGGGGGCCUCUCCGGUUCCCUGUGCCGCAGCUAACGCAUUAAGCGCCCCGCCUGGGGAGUACGGCCGCAUGCUAAAACUCAAGGAUGACGGGGG